rnacentral:rRNA from 1 species
GAACCGGAUUAGAUACCCGGGUAGUCCACGCCGUAAACGAUGGAUACUAGCUGUUUGGGGUAUCGACCCCCUGAGUAGCGAAGCUAACGCGUUAAGUAUCCCGCCUGUGGAGUACGAUCGCAAGAUUAAAACAUAAAGGAAUUGACGGGGACCCGCACAAGCGGUGGAUCAUGUUCUUUAAUUCGAUGAUAACCGAUAAACCUUACCAGGUCUUGACAUCCUUGGAAUCUUUCAGAAAUGAGAGAGUGCUUUUUAAGAGCCAAGUGACAGGUGAUGCAUGGCCGUCGUCAGCUCGUGUCGUGAGAUGUUUGGUUAAGUCCAUCAACGAGCGCAACCCUUGUCAGUAGUUGUAUUUUUCUACUGAGACUGCCCCGGCAACGGGGAGGAAGGAGGGGAUGACGUCAGGUCAGUAUUUCCCUUACGUCCUGGGCUAGAAACGUGAUACAAUGGCUAGUACAAUGCGCAGCGAAGCCGCGAGGUGAAGCAAAUCGCAUCAAAGCUAGUCCCAGUUCGGAUUGUAGGCUAAAACUCGCCUGCAUGAAGUCGGAAUCGCUAGUAAUCGCAGAUCANGCAUGCUGCGGUGAAUACGUUCCCGGGUCUUGUACACACCGCCCGUCAAACCAUGAAAGUCACUAACACCCGAAGUCCGAUUCGUCGGCCUAAGGUGGGAGGGAUGAUUGGGGUU